AAGUCGAACGCGACCUUCGGGUCGAGUGGCGGACGGGUGAGGAACGCGUGGGAACCUGCCCUGGAGUGGGGAAUAACCGAGGGAAACUUCGGCUAAUACCGCAUACGCCCUGAGGGGGAAAGGCUUCGGCCGCUCUGGGAGGGGCCCGCGCCCGAUUAGCUUGUUGGUGGGGUAACGGCCCACCAAGGCUUCGAUCGGUAGCUGGUCUGAGAGGAUGAUCAGCCACACUGGGACUGAGACACGGCCCAGACUCCUAUGGGAGGCAGCAGUGGGGAAUAUUGGACAAUGGGGGCAACCCUGAUCCAGCCAUGCCGCGUGGGUGAUGAAGGCCUUAGGGUUGUAAAGCCCUUUCGCCCGUGACGAUGAUGACGGUAACGGGAGAAGAAGCCCCGGCUAACUCCGUGCCAGCAGCCGCGGUAAGACGGAGGGGGCUAGCGUUGUUCGGAAUUACUGGGCGUAAAGCGCGCGUAGGCGGCUUUGCAAGUCGGGCGUGAAAGGCCUGGGCUCAACCUGGGAAUUGCGCUCGAGACUGUGAGGCUUGAGUCCGGGAGAGGGUGGUGGAAUUCCCAGUGUAGAGGUGAAAUUCGUAGAUAUUGGGAGGAACACCGGUGGCGAAGGCGGCCACCUGGUCCGGUACUGACGCUGA
rnacentral:rRNA from 1 species